rnacentral:rRNA from 1 species
GAUCCUGGCUCAGGCUUAACACAUGCAAGUCGAACGGUAACAGGAGAAAGCUUGCUUUCUUGCUGACGAGUGGCGGACGGGUGAGUAAUGCUUGGGAAUCUGGCUUAUGGAGGGGGGAUAACGACGGGAAACUGUCGCUAAUACCGCGUAGAGUCGAGAGACGAAAGUGCGGGACCGCAAGGCCGCAUGCCAUAGGAUGAGCCCAAGUGGGAUUAGGUAGUUGGUGGGGUAAUGGCCUACCAAGCCGACG